UACGGGGGGUGCGAGCGUUGUCCGGAAUCACUGGGCGUAAAGGGCGUGUAGGCGGUUAGGUAAGUGGGACGUGAAAUCCCUCGGCUCACCCGAGGACCUGCGUCCCAAACUGCUUAGCUUGAGUAUGGGAGAGGAUGAGGGAAUUCCUGGUGUAGCGGUGAAAUGCGUAGAUAUCAGGAGGAACACCGGUGGCGAAGGCGCUCAUCUGGCCCAAUACUGACGCUGAGGCGCGAAAGCUAGGGGAGCAAACGGG
rnacentral:rRNA from 1 species